rnacentral:lncRNA from 1 species
ACUGUGUUGCUAGGACUCUGGCAUGUUUGCAAUAAUCCUGAACUCACUGCAAAUUGUUUUUUCAUUCAACCCGACUUUGAAAAAGGCAGACGGGCUGUAGUCUAAACACCCCAAGAGUCUGUAUUUGCUUUGUUCCGUAUGUGUUCCAGCACACUCCAGUCCCCUGUGAUUCUAAAACAAUGAGCCUUUGUGCUUAUCUUCUGCAUUUGGCAAGGCAGUUUUCACCUCUUAAUUUUUGUCUCAACAGGAGAAAUUGCUGUCUAACUGAUCCUUUGUGGACUUCCUACCAAAACCAUCCAGUGCAACAUAUGGGUUUGUUCAGAAACAUUCCCCGGAGCCCGGCUCUGCUCCUGCCGCCRCCGUGCACGGAGGAACCUGCAAAGGGGACAGCAGCUCCACGAGCCGCAGGGUUUCACAGGAGUGGCCCAGCGACGGGGUGGCCAGGGCACAGACUGACAGAGCAGCUUUGCAUCUAUGCAAACCUGAUGACUCAGGCUGGUGGUCACCUGUUGCCAGCAUCCCUCUGUUGCCAAGAAGCCUGAACCAACAUCUCCAGCCGUCGUUCCAGGCAUCGCAGACUUGCACAGUCAGAGACAGCCACGGCCAGGCAGGCGGGGAGGUAAAAUCAGCCCUUCCUGGGCCCCCCAAGGCUCCACAUACCAGGUCACCCAGC